rnacentral:rRNA from 1 species
GAGUUUGAUCCUGGCUCAGGAUGAACGCUAGCGGGAGGCCUAACACAUGCAAGCCGAGCGGUAUUUGUUCUUCGGAACAGAGAGAGCGGCGCACGGGUGCGGAACACGUGUGCAACCUGCCUUUAUCUGGGGGAUAGCCUUUCGAAAGGAAGAUUAAUACCCCAUAAUAUAUUGAGUGGCAUCAUUUGAUAUUGAAAACUCCGGUGGAUAGAGAUGGGCACGCGCAAGAUUAGAUAGUUGGUGAGGUAACGGCUCACCAAGUCAAUGAUCUUUAGGGGGCCUGAGAGGGUGAUCCCCCACACUGGUACUGAGACACGGACCAGACUCCUACGGGAGGCAGCAGUGAGGAAUAUUGGACAAUGGGUUAGCGCCUGAUCCAGCCAUCCCGCGUGAAGGACGACGGCCCUAUGGGUUGUAAACUUCUUUUGUAUAGGGAUAAACCUACUCUCGUGAGAGUAGCUGAAGGUACUAUACGAAUAAGCACCGGCUAACUCCGUGCCAGCAGCCGCGGUAAUACGGAGGGUGCAAGCGUUAUCCGGAUUUAUUGGGUUUAAAGGGUCCGUAGGCGGAUCUGUAAGUCAGUGGUGAAAUCUCACAGCUUAACUGUGAAACUGCCAUUGAUACUGCAGGUCUUGAGUAAAUUUGAAGUGGCUGGAAUAAGUAGUGUAGCGGUGAAAUGCAUAGAUAUUACUUAGAACGCCAAUUGCGAAGGCAGGUCACUAAGAAUUAACUGACGCUGAUGGACGAAAGCGUGGGGAGCGAACAGGAUUAGAUACCCUGGUAGUCCACGCCGUAAACGAUGCUAACUCGUUUGGGGGGUUUCGGGCUCAGAGACUAAGCGAAAGUGAUAAGUUAGCCACCUGGGGAGUACGUUCGCAAGAAUGAAACUCAAAGGAAUUGACGG